AACGAACGCUGGCGGCAUGCCUAACACAUGCAAGUCGAACGAGACCUUCGGGUCUAGUGGCGCACGGGUGCGUAACGCGUGGGAACCUGCCUUUAGGUUCGGAAUAACUCAGAGAAAUUUGAGCUAAUACCGGAUAAUGUCUUCGGACCAAAGAUUUAUCGCCUUUAGAUGGGCCCGCGUUGGAUUAGCUAGUUGGUGGGGUAAAGCCUACCAAGGCGACGAUCCAUAGCUGGUCUGAGAGGAUGAUCAGCCACACUGGGACUGAGACACGGCCCAGACUCCUACGGAAGGCAGCAGUGGGGAAUAUUGGACAAUGGGCGAAAGCCUGAUCCAGCAAUGCCGCGUGAGUGAUGAAGGCCUUAGGGUUGUAAAGCUCUUUUACCCGAGAUGAUAAUGACAGUAUCGGGAGAAUAAGCUCCGGCUAACUCCGUGCCAGCAGCCGCGGUAAU
rnacentral:rRNA from 1 species